UCUCUUUUUCUUUCUCUUCCCUUCCCUUCUUCUUCCAGCCGCCGACACCCCCCUCCCUAAAAAAUUUUCCUUCCCGCCGUCAAGUCCUAAGCAACCUCCAGUCGUUUGUCAGCAUUGGAUUUGAAGAGUCGACAUCGCGUCGCUCUCGAUCGACACCUCAGACAGCCACACGUCCAUCCAAAGCAGUAUGUCGCUCUUCGUCUGCGUUCUGAAGCCACUGGUGCUGUUAGCCCGCGCCAUGCCAGAUCCAGAGUUCACCAGCCCCGACUUCAGUGCCAGCCACUUCCUCACCCAGUCAAGUUGCUUGUUUGAAUCUUUUUCGUUGCCCGAGCCCAGCAGUCGAUCUCCACUACUGCUCGCCGCCGAUCUCGACCAGUCGGCCAACCGCAUCCGUCCAAGCGUCGCCCUGCUCGUUCAGCCACUGCCGUUCACUGUUCGUUUGUCCCUCGGCCGUGUCUCUGUUAUUGGCUGAGUGUUUAGUAAGGUUUCACAUUUUGGAUGGAUUUUGUGGAUUAAAUUGUUGUUCCUUUGACUUGGUUUUAGUUUGUUUGUUACCCACCACAGUUGGGGUUAGAUUGAAGUUUUGAGAAAAUUCUGAGCCGCUGUCCAGCUUCGUGGAAGGAAAAUUUUGGCAACUGUUGGUAAGGUUUAGAUCCAAGAUUGGAGUAGUUUAGAGUGCGCAACGUGCUAUUCAGCGGGUUUGGGUUCGUUUCCAACAAGAAAUUUGGUUUAAGGUCACUGUCCAUCAGAACUAGGUGUUAUUUUUCUUUGUGGAAUUUAGUGGAGAUUUUAGUGCCAAAGCUUGGAAGUGACCAUUGAUCAAGCCACACUUUAGGUUUAAUUUGAGUUUCAAUAUCGAGUAAUUGCUUGGAGGAAAAUAUUUGGACUUGCGAUUUGAGGUAAGUAAACUUACAACUGAAACUGCCCAUAGGCCAGGCACUAAAUAUAUGCUAGCAUGAUAGAUGAAUAUUACGACAAAACGAUAGCAUGAUAGAUGGAUAGUAUAGUAUGAUCGAUGUAUGUUCUUGUUUGAGGAUCUGAAAGAUUUAUUUGUGCAUGUAGAUACUUGCAUGCUAGCAUGAGAUGAUACUUGAUUCCAUGAGGUUGUAUUUGAUAUGAGGAUAUUGAGGCAUAUAUGUAUGUUGUAGAGCCAUGAUGUUGAGGUGUAUAUAUAUGUUAUAGAACCACGUUGUGAUACUUGUGAUGUUGAGAUUGUGAUAGUGUCCUUACUGAUUAAUUAGAUACCCACUAGAUGUUGUAUUUCCUUUGGGAUUCACUAGAGAUUGUGUUUCCAUCGGGAUUCACCAGGGGUUGUGUUUCCUUCAGGAUUCACCAGGGGUUGUGUUUCCUUCGGGAUUCACCAGGGGUUGUGUUUCCUUCGGGAU